rnacentral:rRNA from 1 species
UACGGGGGGGGGCAAGCGUUGUUCGGAAUUACUGGGCGUAAAGGGCUCGUAGGCGGCCAACUAAGUCCGACGUGAAAUCCCCAGGCUUAACCUGGGAACUGCGUCGGAUACUGGUUGGCUUGAAUCCGGGAGAGGGAUGCGGAAUUCCAGGUGUAGCGGUGAAAUGCGUAGAUAUCUGGAGGAACACCGGUGGCGAAGGCGGCAUCCUGGACCGGUAUUGACGCUGAGGCGCGAAAGCUAGGGGAGCAAACGGG